rnacentral:rRNA from 1 species
AUUGAACGCUGGCGGCAGGCUUAACACACGCAAGUCGAGCGGGGUGAUGGUGCUUGCACUAUCACUUAGCGGCGGUCGGGUGAGUAAUUCUUAGGAAUCUGCCUAUUAGUGGGGGACAACAUUUCGAAAGGAAUGCUAAUACCGCAUACGUCCUACGGGAGAAAGCAGGGGAUCUUCGGACCUUGCGCUAAUAGAUUAGCAUAAGUCGGGAUAGCUAGCUGGGUGGGGUAAAGGCCUACCAAGGCGACGAUCUGUAGCGGGUAUGAGAGGAUGAUACGCCACAAUGAGACGGAGACACGGCCCAGACUCCUACGGGAGGCAGCAGUGGGGAAGAUUGGACAAGGGGCGGAAGGCUGAUCCAGCCAUUCGGGGUGUGUGAAGAAGGCCUUAUGGUUGUAAAGCACUUUAAGCGAGGAGGAGGCUACUUUAGUUAAUACCUAGAGAUAGUGGACGUUACUCGCAGAAUACGCACCGGCUAACUCUGUGCCAGCCGCCGCCGUAAAAC